GUGGGUCAGCUAUGGCGGUGGCGGUCUAUGAAGAAACUGAAUGCAGAAAAAACUGCCCUGCACAGGACACAAACCUUCCACCAGAAACAAGCUCAGCACUGGAAUCUUGUACCUCCAUCUCUAGCAGUAGAGAGGUGUUGCCAGCUCUACCAACAGCUAUCCUGGAGAAUAUUCAUGAAUCUGGAGAGAUAAACCUGAACUUGCCUGAGGGAGGCAAGGGUGAGGGAAGUGUAGAGAGGGUGUUCACUGGUGAUGAGGAUACAAGUGGGAUUGUUAAAGAGCUGAGUUGGAACUCAGGUGACCGUGAUAAGGAGGAAAGGAGAGAUGCUUUCUCAGAGGAGGGUGUGAGUGACACAGUCAGUGCAGAGUGGAGAGAGGGAGACUGCUUUGUCCCAGUUGGAGUAGAGGUGACUGAGAUGGCUGCUGAGGGGGAGUUUGAAGAUGGGAUGAGAGCUGAAAUGAAAGAGGGAAAGGGGACAAACAGUUGUGAGUCAGGGGAGGAGUUGGUUGCUGAGAGGGCUGUGAAGAGAGAGAUUGAAGAGAAAGAUAAAGAGGGAAAACUAGUCCCAGAGAAAGAACACAAGGUGGCUCCCAAGAGGAAGAAUAUAAGGAAACGCAGACGAUCAGCCAAACCUCAACGUGACAAAGAGGCAAAUUCCAGUGCUUCCUUUGUAGAGACUGUUCUCUCAUGGCUACUGUCAGUCUUCCUAUGGCUGCAGGCAUUCUCACCAACAAUGUUAUGCUGGUCCCCAAAUAGUUUAUUUUGUGUAGUCAUGCUCGGGGUGGCAUCUGGCACUGGGGGUGUCUUUACAAGCAACGAUCACCAGAGUUUGUCAUGCAUCGCCUGCAAGAGUCCUGGAUGUGCUGCUGAUGUGACUAAGAUAUGGUGUGGGGAGGAUGAACUGUUGAAGGGUUUACCGAUCCCACUCUGCACAAGCAUUUCCCAAAAGUCCAAGACUGUUUGCCAGCAUGAUGGUCGGACAUUUGUGCUUAUGAUUGAAGAGGGCAAGAAGUGUGAUAUGGAACAAUAUCAUGACCAUGUGCCCUCUGAAAAGACAGAGUGUCCACCAUUGUUGGAGGCUGCUCAAGACUCAAGGUUGGACACUGUUCGAGGUGACACCACUUUGUCAGCACCAACUCUCAAUGCUGAUAUGACUACCUCACCACCACCUGAAAAUGGUUCAUUGUUUGUCGGCGUCAUUGUCAUUGUCAUUUUAGUUAUUGGUAAAUUUCAUCGAAAAGGGCCCCUCCUAUCAAUCCUAUCCUGUACUACAUCUUAAAUGUGCUUUUUGGGGGAGGGGGGUGGGAACAAGCCUUUUGCUCCCUUGUUUCUUGCUAAUGGAAUGCUCUCCCUUACCCUCUGAGCGCUGCUCCACCAAUCCAAGCGUUUAAAAUGGGCCUUUAUAACCCACUUCUACAGACUUUUUCUCAUAGGUCUAA
rnacentral:lncRNA from 13 species